rnacentral:lncRNA from 1 species
ACAAGUAUCUUGUCCGAGGGAGGAAUAGACCGUACUUUUUGGAAUAUGAAUCUGAUAGUAUGAAGAUGUCUAAUUUCAUAAUUGACAAUAACUCUGUUAUGCUUAGAGGAAGUGUUUUUCAACAAAUACUCAUUAUUUUCAUGGUAACCCAAUGUGCAUGUAUUUGGCAACAUCUUUUCCUUUAUACAUAUGAGACUGACUGCAUACAAGAGCUUCUACAGAAUAAUGAAAAGGAGCUUACACUGACCUUAACUUAUUUUUCCGCUAUUGCCAACGAAGCUCGGUCGAACUCUCUUCAAGAUACCUUUAAUCACUCUUUAUUUUAUUUUUAAACAAAUAGAUAUACAGAAAGAAGGACAAAACAUCGGUUUAAAAAAUCAAGCAUGUAAAACAUAGAAUAUUGGAGCUCUUAUAGGCAAAAUAUAUUGAAAAAUAAGUGUCGUUGUCAUGUAAGAUAACUCAAAUCGACCAUAUGAUAGGUACGGGAUAGUGUUCCAUGUAUAGGAGUUCUUGUGUGAGUGAAAUUUAAGGUUGGAAUUUUGAGAAAUAACAUGAUUAAUAAAAGUACAUAUUUUUUAUCAUUUUACAUCUAGUUAAAAUUAUCUAAUAUGAGCACAAAAUUCUAGUGAAGGAGUGAUACAAUGAUUGUGUUCUGUAUAAGUAUUUGUUGAAUUGGCAUUUUUCAAAAAUAUGUGCAGAAUUUAUAUUUGUUUCAAAUAGGAAUAAUAGUCGGCAUGAGCCAAUUUUUAUUCUGUCCAGUACGACAGUGAAAUUUAUAUAUAACAUGUCAUUACAAAGACCGUAAUUGUCAGCGUAUAUCAGGAUGUAAACCAAACAAAUUUACAUCCCUUUUUUCUUUGGUACAUUUAAAGCUUAAGUAAUCAUGUCGUCUGAAGUUCAAAAAUAUUUUAUAAAAUAUGCGCACAAAAAAAGGUGAUACGUUGAAACACGACAGAUACUGUAAAUUCUGAAAUUAUUGCGUGUUUUUUUAUUAUUGCUAAUAGAGCAAUUGGUUGGGUAUCGCAAUAAUUAGAACUGUCAUUUAGAUAUAUGAUACAUAUAUCUUAAUGUAGAUUUUCUUUUGAAAUCGCAAUAAUGAAUAUCGCUUUUUUUUUUGGUUUCAUGUAAUGAAAUGCAGGGCUCACUUCUUGCAACUGGCUAAUUCAAAGGAAUAUUAGGUUGUUGUGCCAUUUUCUUUUGUAUGAAACCGGAUAUAGGACGUUCUAUGAUUUGGUGGAAUUAAAAUGUGUUUGUAUGCAUAUUUGUUUAAUAAUAAUUUAUAGGCAACUUUUUGUGUAAGAAAUGUGAUAUUAAAUGAGAAUUUGAGUAUUCAAGCUAAAACAACCAUCCAUAUAAAAGUUUACUGACUCCAUGGAGGUUCCAAUUGGUCCUUACUUGAAUCUUAAGUUUACGCUGCGUUUCAAAGAGGGUUAUAUGAUGGUUCUCUUUAAGAAAAGACUUUGAUGUGAUU